rnacentral:rRNA from 1 species
GAUGAACGCUGGCGGCGUGCCUAAUACAUGCAAGUCGAGCGAACAGACGAGGAGCUUGCUCCUCUGACGUUAGCGGCGGACGGGUGAGUAACACGUGGAUAACCUACCUAUAAGACUGGGAUAACUUCGGGAAACCGGAGCUAAUACCGGAUAAUAUAUUGAACCGCAUGGUUCAAUAGUGAAAGACGGUUUUGCUGUCACUUAUAGAUGGAUCCGCGCCGCAUUAGCUAGUUGGUAAGGUAACGGCUUACCAAGGCGACGAUGCGUAGCCGACCUGAGAGGGUGAUCGGCCACACUGGAACUGAGACACGGUCCAGACUCCUACGGGAGGCAGCAGUAGGGAAUCUUCCGCAAUGGGCGAAAGCCUGACGGAGCAACGCCGCGUGAGUGAUGAAGGUCUUCGGAUCGUAAAACUCUGUAUUUAGGGAAGAACAAAUGUGUAAGUAACUAUGCACGUCUUGACGGUACCUAAUCAGAAAGCCACGGCUAACUACGUG